rnacentral:rRNA from 1 species
GACGAACGCUGGCGGCGUGCUUAACACAUGCAAGUCGAACGAAGUGGCGAACGGGUGAGUAAUACGUGGGUAACCUGCCCUCCUUUUUGGGAUAAGCCUUGGAAACGGGGUCUAAUACCCAAUCAAGGGGGAUGGGCUCGCGGCCUAUCAGCUUGUUGGUGGGGUAGUGGCCUACCAAGGCGACGACGGGUAGCCGUCCUGAGAGGGCGACCGGCCACAUUGGGACUGAGAGACGGCCCAAACUCCUACGGGAGGCAGCAGUGGGGAAUAUUGAACAAUGGAGUGAACUCUGAUGCAGCGACGCCGCGUGAACGAAGAAGGCUUUCGAGUCGUAAAGUUCUUUCGGUACCAUAAGAAAAAGCCCCGGCUAACUACGUGCCAGCCGCCGCGGUAAUUC